rnacentral:rRNA from 1 species
UUGAACGCUGGCGGCAUGUCUUACACAUGCAAGUCGAACGGUAACGGGUUAAGCCGACGAGUGGCGAACGGGUGAGUAAUAUAUCGGAACGUGCCCAAUCGUGGGGGAUGACGCAGCGAAAGUUGUGCUAAUACCGCAUAAGAUCUACGGAUGAAAGCGGGGGAUCGCAAGACCUCGCGCGAGUGGAGCGGCCGAUAUCAGAUUAGCUAGUUGGUGGGGUAAAGGCCCACCAAGGCGACGAUCUGUAGCUGGUCUGAGGGGACGACCAGCCACACUGGGACUGAGACACGGCCCAGACUCCUACGGGAGGCAGCAGUGGGGAAUUUUGGACAAUGGGCGCAAGCCUGAUCCAGCCAUUCCGCGUGAGUGAAGAAGGCCUUCGGGUUGUAAAGCUCUUUCGGCAGGAACGAAAAGGUUAGGGUGAAUAAUCCUGAUUGAUGACGGUACCUGAAGAAGAAGCACCGGCUAACUACGUG